UACGAAGGGGGCUAGCGCUGCUCGGAAUCACUGGGCGUAAAGGGUGCGUAGGCGGGCCUUUAAGUCAGGGGUGAAAUCCUGGAGCUCAACUCCAGAACUGCCUUUGAUACUGAAGAUCUUGAGUUCGGGAGAGGUGAGUGGAACUGCGAGUGUAGAGGUGAAAUUCGUAGAUAUUCGCAAGAACACCAGUGGCGAAGGCGGCUCACUGGCCCGAUACUGACGCUGAGGCACGAAAGCGUGGGGAGCAAACAGG
rnacentral:rRNA from 1 species